CGAGUUGUUCCGCAGAGAAAGGUUGGGGAGAGAAGGUAUCAGAAAAGGUGAUUUCGCUAUACAACUCUCUUCCUAAGAAAGGAAAGCCUCAGGGGCGAGAAGUCACUGUCUUGGCUUUUUCCUCUCCUUCUCAAGAUUUAGAAGUUGUUUCCUUAGGAACGGGGACAAAAUGUAUUGGGCGCUCGCACUUGAGCACGCAGGGUGACAUUGUUAAUGAUUCACACGCUGAGAUUAUUGCUCGAAGAGCUUUAAUGAGGUUCUUCUAUUCAGAGAUUCAAC
rnacentral:misc_RNA from 1 species